rnacentral:lncRNA from 1 species
ACUGGUCGGAAUCUUUCUCUGUGUGCCAUGUUCAUCACUCCUUUCUGUCUCUUUAUCGUUCUUUGUUAUUAUUGACAAGGGUUUUCUCCUCAGGAAAGUGAUGAAGAUGCCAGAAAAACAAAUGAGCUGAGAGUAGAAACUUCAACAAUAAGCCAUGAUAGUGAUGAAGACAGCCAAACAGAAGAGCAGAGAGCAGAAACUUUUAAUGAAGCACAGAGCUCUCAGAGCAAUGAUGACGCUGGCAGCCAAACAGAAGUGCAAAGAGCAGACCUUUCCACAUUGGAACAGAAAGAACUUCAGCAUAUUGCUCACCUGUGGAACACCCACAUCAUUCAGAGAAGCAGAAAUGCAGUUGCACCUAGUGGCCGGCCUCACAUGAUGUACAUGCUUCCUCAGCUUUUUGGGGAAAGGACCAUCUCAAACAUGCAUCUGUGCAAGCAGUACAAACAUGCAGAGCACAAUGCAUACAACGAGGACCCUACCCAUGUGAUGAGACUGCCAUCCACUGGAAGGAUAAGAUGUGAUUGAUCCACUGAAGCAGAGGAUGAAUGCUGUAACCAUCACUGCUGUGUUACACAUGGACCAAAGUUUCCUCUCAGCCUGUUGUUAAUAGAAAUGAAACACUUUCUCAUCUGCUUUGCUUCAGUUCAUUUAGGGCCAACAUUGUUGAAUUGAUUGAUCACCACAUUUGACACUACACAGAUAUACAGUAUGUAUGAAUAACGUGCUUCAAGUAGAGAAAAUAAGACAUGAAAGCAUUAGAAAAUGAGUGUUUUUCCUCUUUUUUAAUGUAAUAUCUUUAUGUAGGUCAAACAGUCAAACAUUGUUUUGUGU